AUUGAACGCUGGCGGCAGGCCUAACACAUGCAAGUCGAACGGUAGCACAGAGAGCUUGCUCUCGGGUGACGAGUGGCGGACGGGUGAGUAAUGUCUGGGAAACUGCCCGCUGGAGGGGGGUAACUACUGGAAACGGCAGCUAAUACCGCAUAACGUCGCAAGACCAAAGAGGGGGACCUUCGGGCCGCUUGCCAGUGGAUGCGCACAGAUGGGAUUAGCUAGUAGGUGGGGUAACGGCUCACCUAGGCGACGAUCCCUAGCUGGUCUGAGCGGAUGACCAGCCACACUGGAACUGAGACACGGUCCAGACUCCUACGGGAGGCAGCAGUGGGGAAUAUUGCACAAUGGGCGCAAGCCUGAUGCAGCCAUGCCGCGUGUAUGAAGAAGGCCUUCGGGUUGUAAAGUACUUUCAGCGAGGAGGAAGGCGUUGUGGUUAAUAACCACAGCGAUUGACGUUACUCGCAGAAGAAGCACCGGCUAACUCCGUGCCAGCCGCCGCGGUAAGAC
rnacentral:rRNA from 1 species